CGAGGGGUCCUAGCGUUGUUCGGAAUCACUGGGCGUAAAGCGUAUGUAGGCGGGCUUUUAAGUCAGGUGUGAAAUCCCAUGGCUCAACCAUGGAAUUGCAUUUGAAACUGGAAGUCUUGAGUGUGGGAGAGAUUGGUAGAAUACCUGGUGUAGUGGUGAAAUACGUAGAUAUCAGGUGGAAUACCGGUGGCGAAGGCGGCCAAUUGGCCCAACACUGACGCUGAGAUACGAAAGCGUGGGGAUCAAACAGGAUUAGAUACCCUGGUAGUCCACGCCGUAAACGAUGAAUACUUGGUGUUAGAGGUAUUGACCCCUCUAGUGCCGAAGCUAACGCGUUAAGUAUUCCGCCUGGGAAGUACGGUCGCAAGAUUA
rnacentral:rRNA from 1 species